GAGGAAUAUUGCACAAUGGUCGCAAGCCUGAUGCAGCGACGCCGCGUGUGGGAUGAAGGGGCUACGCCUCGUAAACCACUGUAGCCCGGGACGAAAAACGCCUUAGAGGCGUUAGCCGGUACCGGGAAAGUAAGGGUCGGCUACCUACGUGCCAGCAGCCGCGGUCAUACGUAUGAUCCAAGCGUUGUCCGGAUUUACUGGGUGUAAAGGGUGCGCAGGCGGAUGGGUAAGUCAGGGGUGAAAGUCUGCAGCUUAACUGUAGAAUUGCCUUUGAUACUGCUCAUCUUGAGUGUGGGAGAGGUUGAUGGAAUUCCAGGUGUAGCAGUGAAAUGCGUAGAUAUCUGGAAGAACACCAGUGGCGAAGGCGGUCAACUGGCCCAUAACUGACGCUCAUGCACGAAAGCGUGGGGAGCAAACA
rnacentral:rRNA from 1 species